rnacentral:rRNA from 1 species
CGCGCAAAUUACCCACUCCCAGUACGGGGAGGUGGUGACGAAAAAUACCGAUGCGGGACUCCUUUCAGAGGCUCCGUAAUCGGAAUGAGUGAACUCUAAAUCCUUUCACGAGGAUCAAUUGGAGGGCAAGUCUGGUGCCAGCAGCCGCGGUAACUCCAGCUCCAAUAGCGUAUAUCAAAGUUGCUGCAGUUAAAAAGCUCGUAGUUGGAUCUCGGUAUCACUAAGGCCCAUCUGGUUGGACAUGCUGGCAUUCCAGUGUGCGUGGCUCAGCUGCGUCCUGGGUGUUGUGUGGAAGACUGUUGGGUUAUUGGUGUAACCUUUUCAGCCAUGUCUGUGGUGCAAUACCCGCAGUGUAGGCGAGUGUCAGCGGUGCUUUGCGACAGUAAGGUCCGUCGGCUCGUUUGCAUGCCUUUGGAUGUCAUUUAUUUGGCGUCUGUAGGCGGAUGGCACGUUUACUUUGAACAAAUUUGAGUGCUCAAACCCAGCCCGAUGUUGCCCUGAAAAGUUUUGCAUGGGAAUAAUGGGAAUAGGACUUCGGUUCUAUUUUCGUUGGGUUUUUCGGAAUCC